ACCCAAAAAACUCAAAUCACUUCUCCAAAAAUUAAACCCUUUCCCCCAAAACCAUCCUAUCCUUCCUUCACCUCCAUUCACCCCCCCUGAUCCUAAUCACAUCUCCCCCAUCAUCCCCACCAAAGAACACUUAAUUUCCAACCCUAAAUUUCACUCCCUCAAACCAUUACCAAAAAACCCUUAAUUUUCUCCUCCUCUGCCGUCACUAGCCGAAGAAUUCGAAAAGGCACAGCUCUCCCAAACCCUUUCCAAUCCGUUCACCACCACCGGUCUACCACCACUGCGUUUGCCGCUGCCUCCAACCAUGGCGACGGCUCCAAAAUGGAAGCCCAAAAUCGAGCGACAUCGCCUACACAAAAUCGAAGCCCCAAAAUCAAAAUCCCCAAAACCGAUUGCAUGUAACAUAGUAUAAAAAGGCAGAAAAGGUCUACAUAAUACAGAGGCUACAUACUAUAGAGGCGUUAUUUUCACUUGAGUUUGAAUCAUUGCUUUACGAGGGAAGUCUCUUAUGUCAUCCUUGGAUUAGCGUUGGACAAAAUCAGAAUAGGUUUUUUGUUUGAUUUCAGGUAGAUGGUGAACGAAGGGUUGUUGGUGCUUGCUGCCAGCCUGCCAUGUUACUAAUGGAUAAUGAUACAUGCACAUACGAGGUUUGUUAUAAGCAAUUACUCAUUUCAACUCACAAGUAUGAAGUAUCUUUAUCUUUGUCAAUUGGAGUUUUGUAUUGUGUUUUAGAUAUGCUUAAAGAAGUUUCCAUAGUAUUCAAAUUGAAAACGGGCAUGUUUGAUUGGAGCCAAAUUUUAAGGAGAGAACUAAAGUCAUCUUCAAAUCAAACAAAGUGUUAGUUUUUAAGUCACUUAUCAGGUAUCGCUAAUGCAAUUGACUUAGCAGACCGUUUUCUUCCAAAACUACAAUCUUUAAAUUGUAAGCCUUUGGUUGUGACUUUUCGAGCCUAUUCCAUGGAUCAGAUAAUCAUUAUUCUCAAACAACGGCUAAUGGUAUCUGCAGGUUAAAGUUGAUCAUAUGGCCAUGGCUUUGUCAAGGUCUUACAAAUCACCAAGGUACUGUUGCUUUAUUUUUGACGAGAUUGGUGGUGAUAGCAAUGAGUACAUGGAUGCGGAUUUAGACGAUAUUCGAGAAGAAUGUGCAAUUUAUGUGUCGAAUUUCAUUUUUAGGUAGAAAGUAUUGUAAACCGCAUUUAACUAAUUAUCGGUAUCUAUUUGGACAUGAAUCGUUAUGUAAUGAAUUGGUGACGCAUGGUUUUGAUAUAUAUGAAAUGCGUUAAUUUUGUACAA